ACGUCGGUAAAAACGACUUCUACCGUCAGAUGGUAAAUCAACCACCUGUAUUCAUCCCACUUGCGAUGUUACUGUAGCAGUAAAUAUCUCCACUUCGAGAGCUUUCUUCGACAGCCUCGUUUUGCUCAGAUCCGGCCGCCUCAGUCUCCACCCCACGCGGCCACGCCCGUCGCCUGCUCUGAUCCGCCUCCGUUCCGGCCGCCCCCACUCCGCCGCUGUCGCUAUCUGCUCUGCGCCCCGUCUCCUCGCUCGCGGCCGGCCAAGCGGCGACCCGCGGCCGUCGCUCCCCUCACGCGGCCAUAACAGCGUCGUUGCCACCCGCCCGCGGUCGGUCCGGCAAGGCGGCGCAUGCGACCGUCCCGGCGCCAACGCUCUUCGCCCAAGGCCGGUCCGAUCCUCCGGCGCCAACGCGGCCUGCCCUACACUCCAUCUCCUCACACACGGCCGGCAAGGCGAGGGCCGUCGCUCCCCGCCUGGGGGCUGACGGGCACCCUCCUCACGCUGGGCGCCGGCAUGCCCCCAAGAGCCCUGUCCGCCAUGGCCUCUGUCGCGCGGCUCUCCCUGCCGUGCCGCCUCCCUGCACCCCUGCCCCCCCCCCCCGGCCGCUGCGCUUCGCCGCUCACCCUACGCCGCCGCAGCGCCGAUGCGCCCCUAUGCCCUCCACAGCCGGUGGAGGUCUCACGCCGCCGAGGGCGAGGCGCAGGACCAGGUCUAGCAGCUGCAGAACGAUGCUCCCAUAUUGCAGCAUCAUCGAGCGCAAGCAGAAGAAGACCAUCGACGAGAUGGAGCAGGAGUUCCUCCAGGCCAUCAUGUCCAACGAGGAGUUGGAUAACCUCAAAGAGGAGCUCAUGUGGGAAGGCAGCAGCGUUGUCAUGCUAAGUAAUAACCGCGUUCAUGCCCGGAUGAGCAAAGGCUUUUGCAAGCCACUAUGGCAAAUAUCGCUGGCAACCCCAUCAUGACGGAUACUGCUGAAUACGAUGCCCUCAACUUCAGAUUAAUAGUUAGAUCUAGCUGCCCUAUUAAUCUUUUAUUUUAGUAGUACAGUCAAAGUGAGAUGUUAUUUGAAACACUUUUAAUACUAUUUUGUCACCACCCGCCAAAUCUUUUUGCAAGAACUCGGGCUGUAAUAGAUUCUAGAUGAUCUUUGAUUUAAGUAAGACUGAGGCUGGCUUGAGCCCUAAACCUCUAAAAAAAUGUUUCUGAGAUUCACAUUUGUCUCUUCGUUUUACAGGUUCUACAUUUAAUUUUGUUUCAUCCAUUUUCAUUUUCAUUUUCUGCUUACUUGGGUUACCUGUAGUUCGAAUCAAACUAUAAGGAAGUGCUACUCACAUUAAUUUGCCCCCCUUUAGUUUUCUUGACUUCUUGAUCGACCUUGCAGAUCUAAGGAAGUGCUGAUAAUGGAUAUGUGCUUGCCAAGCUACUGACAGUUUUCAAGCAUCUAAGCAAACAGGUUCACAGCAGAUUCUUCAUUGAUAUGGACUAUUGGAUUAUAACUAACAAAUGGAAUACUGUGAAGUUUGUGCACUUCAUCCUUCACAUCGCAGAUGAAUGCUUCCAAGGAUUUUUUUCAGCUAAGGACUUUGACAAGAAUGCGUCUCCUCACUUCCAGAAAGCUGACAAAUUUUAUGAUGCCCUUGCCAGACAGCUGGUCAGUCAAGGACGUGCGUUAGAUGUUUCCACAUAUGCUCUUGAUCAGAUUUGUAUGAUACAUUGUUUAGGAAUUUAUGCUUGCUCGGUUUUCAUACCUUCAUUAGUUUUUUAUUUGUCAUGCAAACAAAGCAAGUAAGGUCACGACACCAUCCAUCAGGAGCUGGUGAUAGCAGGGUUGGUAAGCCGCAAAUAAACAUCAGCCAAGAACAAUUAGCCAAAAUAAUAUUUGCAAAUUAGUAGACGUACACGUACAGUUUUCCCCU